UGAAAACUAAAAUGUUUAUUGAGCAGAAACAUGCUUUAAUCAAAAAUAUCUCUGGAACAGUAGCAAGGUCAAUGGGUCAAAGGUCAGAAUAUCUCUGGAACAGUAGCAAGGUCAAUGGGUCAAAGGUCAGAAUAUCUCUGGAACAGUAGCAAGGUCAAUGGGUCAAAGGUCAGAAUAUCUCUGGAACAGUAGCAAGGUCAAUGGGUCAAAGGUCAGAAUAUCUCUGGAACAGUAGCAAGGUCAAUGGGUCAAAGGUCAGAAUAUCUCUGGAACAGUAGCAAGGUCAAUGGGUCAGAGGUCAGCACCCCCCGAAACAAAACAAACGUAAAGAGUAGAAAGCAACAGCAAGCAGGGUUCGCUCUGCCAUGAUCACAUCUCAGGAGGGGUUAUAGGUGUCUGUAGUAGAGGAGGAGGAGGGUUAUAGGUGUCUGUAGUAGAGGAGGAGGAGGGGUUAUAGGUGUCUGUAGUAGAGGAGGAGGGGUUAUAGGUGUCUGUAGUAGAGGAGGAGGGGGUUAUAGGUGUCUGUAGUAGAGGAGGAGGGUUAUAGGUGUCUGUAGUAGAGGAGGAGGAGGGGUUAUAGGUGUCUGUAGUAGAGGAGGGGGUUAUAGGUGUCUGUAGUAGAGGAGGAGGAGGGGUUAUAGGUGUCUGUAGUAGAGGAGGAGGAGGGGUUAUAGGUGUCUGUAGUAGAGGAGGAGGGGUUAUAGGUGUCUGUAGUAGAGGAGGAGGGGUUAUAGGUGUCUGUAGUAGAGGAGGAGGGGUUAUAGGUGUCUGUAGUAGAGGAGGAGGGGUUAUAGGUGUCUGUAGUAGAGGAGGAGGGGUUAUAGGUGUCUGUAGUAGAGGAGGAGGGGUUAUAGGUGUCUGUAGUAGAGGAGGAGGGGUUAUAGGUGUCUGUAGUAGAGGAGGAGGGGUUAUAGGUGUCUGUAGUAGAGGAGGAGGGUUAUAGGUGUCUGUAGUAGAGGAGGAGGGUUAUAGGUGUCUGUAGUAGAGGAGGAGGAGGGUUAUAGGUGUCUGUAGUAGAGGAGGAGGGUUAUAGGUGUCUGUAGUAGAGGAGGAGGGUUAUAGGUGUCUGUAGUAGAGGAGGAGGAGGGUUAUAGGUGUCUGUAGUAGAGGAGGAGGGUUAUAGGUGUCUGUAGUAGAGGAGGAGGGGUUAUAGGUGUCUGUAGUAGAGGAGGAGGGUUAUAGGUGUCUGUAGUAGAGGAGGAGGAGGGUUAUAGGUGUCUGUAGUAGAGGAGGGGGGGGGUUAUAGGUGUCUGUAGUAGAGGAGGAGGGGUUAUAGGUGUCUGUAGUAGAGGAGGAGGGGUUAUAGGUGUCUGUAGUAGAGGAGGAGGGGUUAUAGGUGUCUGUAGUAGAGGAGGAGGGGGGUUAUAGGUGUCUGUAGUAGAGGAGGAGGGGUUAUAGGUGUCUGUAGUAGAGGAGGAGGGGUUAUAGGUGUCUGUAGUAGAGGAGGAGGGGUUAUAGGUGUCUGUAGUAGAGGAGGAGGGGUUAUAGGUGUCUGUAGUAGAGAGGAGGGGGUUACAGGUGUCUGUAGUAGAGGAGGAGGGUUACAGGUGUCUGUAGUAGAGGAGGAGGAGGGUUAUAGGUGUCUGUAGUAGAGGAGGGGAGGGUUAUAGGUGUCUGUAGUAGAGGAGGAGGAGGGGUUAUAGGUGUCUGUAGUAGAGGAGGAGGAGGGGUUAUAGGUGUCUGUAGUAGAGGAGGAGGAGGGGUUAUAGGUGUCUGUAGUAGAGGAGGAGGAGGGGUUAUAGGUGUCUGUAGUAGAGGAGGAGGAGGGGUUAUAGGUGUCUGUAGUAGAGGAGGAGGGGUUAUAGGUGUCUGUAGUAGAGGAGGAGGGUUAUAGGUGUCUGUAGUAGAGGAGGAGGGGUUAUAGGUGUCUGUAGUAGAGGAGGGGUUAUAGGUGUCUGUAGUAGAGGAGGAGGGGUUAUAGGUGUCUGUAGUAGAGGAGGAGGGUUAUAGGUGUCUGUAGUAGAGGAGGAGAGGGUUAUAGGUGUCUG
ensembl:lncRNA